CUCGCGCUGUCAUCGAACUCCCCGCCGGCGCCAAAAUAUUAAGCGCGUAAACAUUAACAGCUGACAAUAAGACUUUUCCCGCUUAAAUCACCAUAAAUAUUCCCGUGAUUCCUGAUGAUGUAAAACAUAAUGACAUCGUAAAACGGAUUUAAAGCCUUCAGUAUUGACGACGUAACUGCAGAAUACGUGCAUAAACAGUGUUAAUUUGUGAAAUCUCUCACCUUCAGUCUUUAUCAGGUCUCUCUCUGCUGUUAUGGUGAAGUACAGCAGUAUGAUGAAGAUCAGCAGAAGAACACAAAUGAGCCCGAGACCCACUGUGAUCAACACCAAACAUCUACUUCCUCCUGAGGAACACGACCAAAACACACAAACAUCAAUUAAUAACAGUUCACUGAAUAUUACUAGACAACACCUCAAAUCAACAUGUCUCUCUCUGCUGUGAUGGUGAAGUACAGCAGUAUGAUGAAGAUCAGCAGAAGAACACAAAUGAGCCCGAGACCCACGGUGAUCAACACCAAACAUCUACUUCCUCCUGACGA